GGCUCAGGACGAACGCUGGCGGCGUGCUUAACACAUGCAAGUCGAACGGAAAGGCCUCAGCUUGCUGGGGUACUCGAGUGGCGAACGGGUGAGUAACACGUGGGUGAUCUGCCUUGUACUUCGGGAUAAGCCUGGGAAACUGGGUCUAAUACUGGAUAGGACCAUGCUUUAGUGUGUCAUGGUGGAAAGUUUUUUCGGUACAAGAUGAGCCCGCGGCCUAUCAGCUUGUUGGUGGGGUAAUGGCCUACCAAGGCGUCGACGGGUAGCCGGCCUGAGAGGGUGGACGGCCACAUUGGGACUGAGAUACGGCCCAGACUCCUACGGGAGGCAGCAGUGGGGAAUAUUGCACAAUGGGCGGAAGCCUGAUGCAGCGACGCCGCGUGGGGGAUGACGGCCUUCGGGUUGUAAACCUCUUUCGACAGGGACGAAGCUUUUGUGACGGUACCUGUAUAAGAAGCACCGGCUAACUACGUGCCAGCAGCCGCGGUAAUACGUAGGGUGCGAGCGUUGUCCGGAAUUACUGGGCGUAAAGAGCUCGUAGGUGGUUUGUCGCGUCGUCUGUGAAAUACCGGGGCUUAACUCCGGAGCUGCAGGCGAUACGGGCAUAACUUGAGUGCUGUAGGGGAGACUGGAAUUCCUGGUGUAGCGGUGGAAUGCGCAGAUAUCAGGAGGAACACCGAUGGCGAAGGCAGGUCUCUGGGCAGUAACUGACGCUGAGGAGCGAAAGCAUGGGGAGCGAACAGGAUUAGAUACCCUGGUAGUCCAUGCCGUAAACGGUGGGCGCUAGGUGUAGGGGUCUUCCACGACUUCUGUGCCGUAGCUAACGCAUUAAGCGCCCCGCCUGGGGAGUACGGCCGCAAGGCUAAAACUCAAAGGAAUUGACGGGGGCCCGCACAAGCGGCGGAGCAUGUGGAUUAAUUCGAUGCAACGCGAAGAACCUUACCUGGGCUUGACAUAUACAGGUUUGCUGCAGAAAUGUAGUGUCCCUUUGUGGUCUGUUUACAGGUGGUGCAUGGUUGUCGUCAGCUCGUGUCGUGAGAUGUUGGGUUAAGUCCCGCAACGAGCGCAACCCUUGUCUUAUGUUGCCAGCACGUGAUGGUGGGGACUCAUGAGAGACUGCCGGGGUUAACUCGGAGGAAGGUGGGGAUGACGUCAAAUCAUCAUGCCCCUUAUGCCCAGGGCUUCACACAUGCUACAAUGGUCGGUACAACGCGCAGCCAGCCCGUGAGGGUGAGCGAAUCGCUGAAAGCCGGCCUCAGUUCGGAUUGGGGUCUGCAACUCGACCCCAUGAAGUCGGAGUCGCUAGUAAUCGCAGAUCAGCAACGCUGCGGUGAAUACGUUCCCGGGCCUUGUACACACCGCCCGUCACGUCAUGAAAGUUGGUAACACCCGAAGCCAGUGGCCUAACCCUUGUGGGGGGAGCUGUCGAAGGUGGGAUCGGCGAUUGGGACGAAGUCGUAACAAGGUAGCCGUACCGGAAGGUGCGGCUGGAUCACCUCCUUUCUAAGGAGUUUUAUUAUCUAUUUUCUAAAAUCCGGGUGGAUCAUCAUAAAAACAUCAUCUGUGCUGUUCGUGUCUCUUAUAGAUGAGGGGCUGGGCAUGACCUGGGUGUGAUCGAAAAAAGUUUUAUAGCGAAAGAACAUAGUUCAUCAUGGUUUCCUGUUUCUUACCCGUUUGUGGGUGGGGUGGGGGUUGUGGUGGUUGGUGCACUGUUGGGUGUCUGGGAUGGCACGUGUUUUGUUGUCCUUGAUAUGUCACUAUUUGUCCCCCUGUUGUUGGUUGGUGUUGUGCUUGCUGGUUGGGGGGUUGGUGGUGGUGUGUGUGUUGUGUGAGAACUGUAUAGUGGACGCGAGCAUUUUUAUCUUUAUUCUUUUGUGUGUUUCUUUUAUUUUGUAAGUUUGUGUGUGUUUGAUGAAGGGCACACGGUGGAUGCCUUGGCAUGCUAAGCCGAUGAAGGACGUGUAAGGCUGCGUUAAGCCUCGGGGAGUUGUCAAUAGAGCGUUGAUCCGAGGAUGUCCGAAUGGGGAAACCCGGCCAUGGUUAUGUGUGGUCACCUGCCAGUGAAUUCAUAGCUGGUGUGGGGGUUGACGCGGGGAAGUGAAACAUCUCAGUACCCGUAGGAGAAGAAAACAAUUGUGAUUCCGUUAGUAGUGGCGAGCGAACGUGGAUGAGGCUAAACCGUAUGCGUGUGAUACGUGACAGUGGUUGCGUGUGCGGGGUUGUGGGGUUGAAGCGUAAGGUGGCUGUCACCGCCUUGCUGGUGCUGAUGCGUGUUAGUGGAAGUGGUGUGGAAUCGCCUGCCGUAGAAGGUGAGAGUCCUGUACAUGAAAGCGUGUGUUGGCCUGGUUGCUUUUGUCCCCGAGUAGCAGCGGGCUCGUGGAAUCUGCUGUGAAUCUGCCGGGACCACCCGGUAAGCCUAAA
rnacentral:rRNA from 1 species